CCCGCUGAACUUAAGCAUAUUAAUAAGCGGAGGAAAAGAAACCAACUGGGAUUUCCACAGUAACUGCGAGUGAAGUGGAAAAAGCUCAAGCUUAAAAUCUAGGGCAGUCUAUGUCCUCGAAUUGUAGUUUUGUGAACAGCUUCACGGGCAGAUUGCUAUAGUAUAAGUCCCCUGGAACGGGGCGCCAAAGAAGGUGAUAGCCCUGUGCAUGACUAUAGUGUUCUGAUCUGUCAAUACGUGCUGCUAGUUCAAAGAGUCAGGUUGUUUGGGAGUACAGCCUAAAGUGGGAGGUAAAUUCCUUCUAAAGCUAAAUAAUGGUGAGAGACCGAUAGCGAACAAGUACCGUGAGGGAAAGAUGCAAAGAACUUUGAAAAGAGAGUUAAAAGUGCUUGAAAUUGUUAAAAGGGAAGCGAUUAGAGGCAGUACAUGCUUGCUAUCAACUCAUUUAUCAGAUUAUGAUUGAGAUGGUGUUAUGAGUGAUCCUUCGUGGUUACCAUAUCAUUGUAACAGUUGUGAACUGGUGAAGCAUUUUGGUGGUAAGUGCGUCAACAUCAGUGAAGGAAGAGGGAGAAAGACUUUAGGGAGGUGGCAUCGGCUAGUCUUCGGAUUAGUUUAGGUGUGUUAAACCUAAUUUAAAUACCUUUUCCAUUUCACUGAGGCAUCUUAUAGAUGAGUUAACCGGCGCCUUUUUGGCGGAGUAAGGGUGGUUUUGAGUGUCAUUAACGAGGAGAACAGCUUGCUGUGCUUUUUGAUUAGUGGUGUUCAUUUAUUAUCUACUACCUGCUGGUUAGUGAUGUUGACCUAAUGUUUCUAAACGUCCCGUCUUGAAACACGG
rnacentral:rRNA from 1 species